ensembl:lncRNA
CAUCCAUUUUGGGCUUUUAUUAUAACAUAUUAAAAUUAUUAUUACACGAUUCAUUCAGACAUAAUUUUGUAUUUUCUCUCUAGAUUUAUUUUUCCAUCUUCAGAUGUUUCUAGUGGUCUUUCCAAAUAUGAUCAUGUUUUUUGCUUUGUCUUGUGGGGUGUUUCUGAAGGAUCUGUGAAUGAGUCGGUUUGUUGUUGUGCUCUUUAUUUUCUGAGGCCUCUCAUUUUACUCUGGGCUUUUCCAUAUGUGAAUGAGUUCACAGGCAACAUUAAAACGUGGAUUUUGAAAUACAGUUAUUCUGCAGAAUAUUUAGUUCUCUCAAUUGUUGUUUAUUCAGCUCUUUUUGCAAGUGUUUGGGAAAAACUUGUGAAUUAUGCUGAGUUUGACAGAUUCGUGAUAAUAGUCCUGUUUUUAAUCAUGUUUAUGUGCUGCAUUUGCAAAAUCAUUUAUCGUAAGUAUUUCUGUGUGAUUCAUUCCCAUCAGUCGUCAGGUACUUGAUUGCUCCUGAUAAUAAUAAUAAUAAUAAUAAUAAUAAUAAUAAUAAUAUAUAUGUGUUAAAACUCUCUCAGUCACAUGCAGAUUCACUCAGUUUAUAUGCUUUUGUUGUUGAUUUUAUUGUUUAGUGUUCUGAAACUGGAUCAGAUCAGAUCUUAAUUGUUUCUUCAUUUAGUUGCAGUUACAGAGGUCGGAAAGAGAAGUGGACAGAUAAUUGAAAUAUUUGACUUAGUGGCUGAUACGAUCUUUGAUAUUCUGCCUGCUUUACAAUUCAUCCUCCUCUUCUUCACUUUUGCAUCUGUCAGAGGAGGAUUCAUCAUUGUUGUCAUUUUACCAGUGUUACUGAUGAUGACAAAUGACAGAUGUUUUUUCAGAUGGUUUGAUAGACUCAGGUGUUCAUUUUCAGUCAUAAGAACAGUGAUGUUAAUCAUCAUGAUAGCGAUUAUUGCAGCGAUGAUCGGACUUUACAUAAUGACACUUGGAAAUAAAACUGAUGCUGCUGGAUGGGGCUGUGUGAUUGCGUUUCUGCAGAUACUCUGGAUGGUUAUGAAGUUUACAGGCUAUUAUGGCUUUAUUGCUCAGGGUACAGUAUUGAUCAUCUACUUUGAUCAGCUCUCCUGUCUGAUUUUUCUGCAUCAGUGAGAACAUGUAAAGAUUUGAGCAGUUUAUGAUCGUUGUUUCAAUAUUAAAUAAUAGAUUUUUAAAUAUUUUUGUGUCUCUCAAGGUAAACUGAUGCAGUUGUUUUUAUGUUAAAUGUCUAAAAUUGCAUUGCAGAUUUUCCUCGUGUUGUUCCUGUCUAUGUGUUUGGAUCAGUUGGUGUUGUGUUACUGAACUCUGUUGCUCUGAUGACUGAACUGAUACUGAAAACAGGUGAGUGAACAUCAUACACUUUAUUAUACAAUAUGUGAUAUAGUUUGAGAGAAAUAUUCCAUAAUUCAGAAAAUGCAUAGCAAAUAUAUGCUUUAAACACAUAUUAAUCGAAUAUGAAUUAAUUUAAACUGUAUUUACCUGUAGUAAUUGUACUGUUAACAAUGCAUUCGUUUCUGGAUAACAGUGAUGAUUUUAUAUAUAUAUAUAAUCAUCAUAUAUAUAUAUUUUAUUAUUAAUGUAUCCACAUUUAUUUUUGGUCAGUUAAUGGUGCUCGUACAGUGGGAGAUCUGAGGUCUGUUGUCUUUCCUUCUGAAUGCUUCUUUGCCUUAUCUGUGGUGAUUGCAGGAAUAUUUCCAUCUGGUGAGUAUAGAUCACAAUUGUUUCUAUUACAUAACAUUGAAUUACAGUUAAAUCACAUAACAUGGUCUUCCUUUAUUUUACAUCUCUGAAUCAUUUGUUUCAAGCUCCAUUCAGUAAAUAAUCAGUCCUUUAGUUUCUGCUAGAGCUGCUGUUAAAGUGUCUAAAGUCUGAUUUAAUCACUUAUUUAACACACAGAUUGUGCUGUGUGUCUCUGCUUGGGGGUUGAUUUGUCACAACCCUUAAAAAAAACCUAGAACCUUUUAAUGCUGAAAUCCUAAAAUAAUCUGAUGAGUGUUAAUGAGAACUGCUCACAGUGAACAUGAACAAAUCUAUAUAUUAUUGACACCCUGCUUCACUAUAUCAGGGAUCUUUUGAUGUCAGCAAUUAAAUUCAAAGUUUUCAAUCUGAAAUGGCUUGAAAUUUUUAACAGUGUGUCGCACUUGAAAAGAAAACAUUAAAAAUAAUUACUAAUAAACCAUUCAAAAAAGGUCCA